rnacentral:rRNA from 1 species
GUAGGUGGCAAGCGUUGUCCGGAAUUAUUGGGCGUAAAGCGCGCGCAGGCGGUUCUUUAAGUCUGAUGUGAAAGCCCACGGCUCAACCGUGGAGGGUCAUUGGAAACUGGAGAACUUGAGUACAGAAGAGGAAAGCGGAAUUCCACGUGUAGCGGUGAAAUGCGUAGAGAUGUGGAGGAACACCAGUGGCGAAGGCGGCUUUCUGGUCUGUAACUGACGCUGAGGCGCGAAAGCGUGGGGAGCAAACAGGGAUUAGAUACCCUGGUAGUCCACGCCGUAAACGAUGAGUGCUAAGUGUUAGGGGGGGUUUUCCGGCCCCCCUUAGUGCUGCAGCUAACGCAUUAAGCACUCCGCCUGGGGAGUACGGCCGCAAGGCUG